rnacentral:sRNA from 1 species
GCUGGGUGCAGUGGUGCACACCUGUCAUUCCAGCUACUUGGGAGGCUGAAGCAGGAGGAUCUCAAGUUUGAUGUCAGCCUGGGCAAGUUAGCAAGCCCCUGUUUUGA